rnacentral:lncRNA from 1 species
AAAAAAAAAAAGUCUAGGAUACAAAGAGGUAAGAACCCCAAGAUAAUUACUAUUUCCAUUGUGAGGAGUAUCAAAACUUCUUCAUUGAUCAUUGUUGUCAUAACCCUCCAAUAUGUAUCAGGAUGGUGUUUAGGGUCAAGAGUAGCCCAAGUCCUCUAGCUCUCACUAUUUCAGAGCUGGGAACUGGACUGUCUGGCAUACCUGAGGCUAAACCUGAGGUACAGAGUAAGGACUCAGACCUGCUUUGAGGUCUGCACUUUGGCCACUAUAAAGAGCUGAAGACAGAAAAUGAGAAAGCAAGUGACACCUAGACAAUUAAAUAAUGAGAUGCCUAUAAACAUGUGUAUAGAAAAGAUGACUCUUGUUCUAAGUGGAUGAGGCAAGGCU